GCGGCGCAGACAGUGACACACGCAGGCAAGUCACAUCAAAAGUCAGGGCAUCAAAAACGGAAAGAAAGGAAGGAAAGAGAAGACAGAGAACGCCAAAGUCGACAGUAUGUCACACAGUUUUUCAAAAAGAAAGAAUCAGCGGCUGCUGCACACCCACGUCCUCCUUCCCCCACGUCCCCGUCUUAAUCAGCCGAACAAGCGUAUAUACUAAGACUCAUCAAGCAACCUUGGUAAGUUAGGAUUGCACUUCAUACCCGGUGAGUUAUGGCUUCUAUUCCUAUUGUUGUUACUUGCACCUCAUGUCAUAUGUUUAGUUUAGCCUUCUCUGUCAGCGGCGAGGGUUUUACAUGUGAUAAAUGCAGGGAAGUAGUUAGGCUGACGGAGAAGAUUUUAGAAUUAGAGUCUCGCAUCCAAUCUUUAUUUGAGGAUAGUAAGAGUGUAAGAACCGUAGAAAACACUUCGGAUGCGAGCAAUGUUAGCGCACACAGCUCGGUUCCGGUUGAAAAUCCCCUGCAGCUGGGAAACUUUGUGACGGUGAGACGGCAUAGUCGCAGGACAAAACAUCACUCAACCGUUCCGAUUAAAGUCUCGAACAGGUUUGCCCCGCUCAGUGACGCACCGACUGAGAAACCUGCUGAAAGUGCCCUAGUGAUCGGUGAUUCUAUUGUCCGGAACGUUAACAUAGAGACACCAGCCACAAUAGUCAAAUGUUUACCGGGAGCCAGAGCGCCUGACAUCAAGUCAAACUUAAAUGUGCUGGCUAAGGCUAAUCGUAAAUACAGUAAGAUUGUUAUUCAUGUCGGCACAAAUGAUGUUAGACUCCGUCAAUCGGAGAUCACUAAAGAUAAUAUUAAAGAGGUGUGUGAGCUCGCAAAAACGAUGUCAGACACUGUAAUAUUCUCUGGCCCCCUUACUGCUUACCGUGGUGAUGAGAUUUAUAGCAGAUUAUCAUCACUAAAUGGCUGGUUGUCUGAGUGGUGCCUGCAGAAUAAUAUAGAUUUUAUAAAUAACUGGAAGAGUUUUGAGGGCAGACCUGACCUGUUGAAACGAGAUGGUCUCCAUCCCUCCUGGGAUGGGGUUUCCCUCCUCUCUAGAAAUUUGGCACACAGUCUUAAUAAUGCUAAAGUCUGACUACCUAGGGCCCAGGUCAGGAAGGAGACAGAAUGGCUUAACCAACUGUCUGCUUGCCGUCUCGCGUUACAGAAUACACAAAAUAUACAACAUGUAAUAAUCCCUUCUUACAAACAACAUAAAAUAGAGACUGUGUCUGUCCCCCGGAUUAGCAAACAUAAGAUAUUGCGUAAACCUCUUGAAAGUAAUUUAAUAAACGUUAAACAAAUCAAACAUGAACAAAAUACAGAUAAUCAGCUGUUACGACUCGGAUUGCUUAAUAUUAGAUCUCUCUCAAAUAAAGCACUUUUUGUUAACGAUUUGAUAACCGAUCAUAAAAUAGACAUGCUUUGUUUGACAGAAACAUGGCUAAAGCCAGAUGAUUUUAUUACUCUAAAUGAAUCCGUUCCCCAUGAUUAUUACUAUAAACACGAGCCUCGUCUAAAAGGUAGAGGGGGAGGUGUCGCUGCACUUUACAAGAAUUCUUUUAUUACCUCUCAGAAGUCUAAUUUUAAGUACAAUUCUUUCGAAGUCAUGGUACUUCACGUAUCGACACCUAAUACUAAGGACAAAACAUUUUUAAAAUUUAUUCUAGCUAUUGUAUAUAGGCCUCCAGGGCACCACACAGAUUUUAUUAAAGAUUUUGGUGGGUUCUUAUCAGAACUAGUACUGGCCGCAGAUAGAGUCCUUGUCGUCGGUGACUUUAAUAUCCAUGUAGACAAUGAUACAGAUGCCUUGGGACUGGCUUUCAAAGACACUCUUAACUCCAUGGGCGUUAGUCAACAUGUGUCAGGACCCACUCACCUUCGUAAUCAUACUUUAGAUUUAAUACUUUCUUAUGGUAUAAAUGUGGACGAUGUUAAAAUCGUUCAGCAGAGUGAAGAUAUUUCGGAUCAUUAUCUGAUAUUAUGUUUGCUUCAAUGGCCUACGGCUGCAAAUCAAACUCCUUGUUACAAAUAUGGUAGAACGAUUACUUCAACUACCAAAGAUGCGUUUCUCGAUAAUCUGCCUGAAUUGUCUAAAAUAUCCAGCAUGAGUAAUAACGUUGACGAUUUUGACACUACUAUUGAAAAUUUUAACUCUACUUUCUCGGAAAUAUUAGACACAGUUGCUCCUCUGCGUUUAAAGAAAAUUAAAAAUAGCGCCCAACACCGUGGUAUAAUGAACACACUCAGACUCUAAAAAAAGCAUCCCGUAAAAUGGAGCGCAACUUUAAGAAAACGAAUUUAGAGGUAUUUCGUAUAGCAUGGAAGGAUAGUACUCGAAAUUACAGGAAUGCAAUAAAAACGUCUAGAUCCGCCUACUUUUCAACACUAAUAGAGGAAAACCAUCACAACCCUAGGUUCUUAUUUAACACCGUGGCUAAAUUAACAAAAAAUAAGUCGUCAUCGACGUCAGAUUCUGAUUAUCAGCAUAACAGUGAUGAAUUUAUGAACUACUUCACAAGUAAAAUCCAAGAUAUAAGAGAAAAAAUUAUAACAAUGCAACCUGUAGUGAAAUCCGCUGAACAAACUAACUACAGCACCCCUAAGGAGAAAUUGCAAUUAUUUUCUACAGUAGAUCACGAUGAACUGUCUAAAAUCAUUAAAUCAUCUAAAUCAUCAACAUGCAUGCUAGACCCUAUACCUACAAAACUACUGAAAGAAAUGCUCCCCGAAAUUAUAGAUCCUCUUCUUAGUAUUAUUAACUCAUCUCUGACAUUAGGACAUGUGCCUAAAGCAUUUAAGGUGGCUGUUAUAAGGCCUCUUUUAAAAAAAACCAAACUCGACCCCAAAGAACUAGGGAAUUACAGGCCUAUAUCGAAUUUACCUUUUAUAUCUAAAGUUCUGGAAAAAGUAGUUUCAACUCAAUUAUGCUCCUUCCUCCAAAGGAAUGACAUUAAUGAUGAAUUCCAGUCUGGAUUUCGAGCAUGUCACAGUACAGAGACUGCUUUGAUCAGAGUUACAAAUGAUCUGCUUUUAGCGUCUGACCGUGGCUGUAUUUCGUUAUUGGUGCUGCUAGACCUCAGUGCUGCAUUUGACACCAUUGACCACAUCAGAGAAAUUAAUUCAUGCAUUCAGGACAUCAAGACUAGAUUACUGUAAUGCACUUCUAGGUGGUUGCCCUGCGGGCCUAUUACAAAAACUGCAACUGGUUCAAAACGCGGCAGCUCGAGUUCUUACACGUACAAAAAAGUAUGAGCAUAUAACCCCGGUUCUGUCAACCUUGCACUGGUUACCUAUAAAGCAUCGCAUUAACUUUAAGAUCUUGCUUAUUACCUAUAAAGCCCUACAUGGUCUAGCGCCGCAGUAUUUGAAUGAACUUCUAUUGUAUUACAGACCACCACGUACAUUACGUUCUAAGGGGUCCUGUCAGUUGGUAAUACCUAGAAUUUCAAAAUCAAGUGCAGGUGGUAGAUCCUUUUCUUAUCUAGCGCCUAAACUUUGGAAUAUUCUUCCCUGCACGGUCCGGGAGGCAGACACACUCUGUCAGUUUAAAUCUAGACUAAAGACUCAUCUUUUUAAUCUUGCAUACACUACACCUCCAUAAUAUUAAUCCUCAGAGGAUUUAGGCUGCAUUAUUUAGAUCAACCGGAACCAGGAACACAUCCAACAACAAAUGAUGUACUUGUUGCAUCAAAGAGUGCAGAACACUACUCUACUCUCAGCCAGUCUUGUCUCUUUGUUCCAAGGUUACCGCAGGAUGCAGUUCAUGCCCAGACCUGAUGGCAGAGCUGAGAAUGGGAAGCGGUGACCUGACAAGUGCUAAGAGGAUAGAGCUGGAUAAAGGACGCGACAACUUUGUUUUUUUCUACAACAUUUCAAAUGCUAUUAGAUUGUUAAUGAUAAUCUUUAAUUUUUAUAUUUUUAUUAAGCCUUGUUGUGCAAGCACUGAUGAGCUUGUGCAGAGGCAGCAGCUUUUGCCAGAGGGGAACUGGAAUCCCCUGGUUGGGCCUGGGUUCCCCUGAGGUUUUUUUUCUCGAUGGGAGUUUUGGGUUCCUCACCACCGUUUGCAUAUUGUUUUGCACUAUCUGCCUGGCCGGGGGGGCUGCUUUAGAAUUCAUACUUGUAUUAAAUGUGUCUCAUGUACAGCUGCUUUGUAACAAUGAAAAUUGUAAAAAGCGCUAUAUAAAUAAAGUUGAGUUGAGUUGAGUUUAGGGAUUUUGUCUGUCCUGCAGAGGGAUAUUUUGUUGAUCUGGACUGUGUCAGGAUUUUAGUAAUAUACAGUGCAUUAGAUAACAAAAAACGGUUUCCAACAGUACAGUAUCGUGUUGUAGAUAUGUGAUACUGUCAGCAUUUGAAACCUAACACAUAGAACUGAAAAAGUAUUUAAAUGAAAUAUAUAGUAUGUCACUCACGUUGGAAACACACAGGCAAACAGGGUUAUCAUGAAGUACUGCUUAAUUACAUCCUUAGUGUUGCAUAAUUUUUAUUUUUUUAUUUCAAAUUGUUCCACUCAUAUCAAGC